rnacentral:rRNA from 1 species
ACUACGGGUGGCAGCAGUGAGGAAUAUUGGUCAAUGGACGCAAGUCUGAACCAGCCAUGCCGCGUGCAGGAAGACGGCUCUAUGAGUUGUAAACUGCUUUUGUACGAGGGUAAACGCAGAUACGCGUAUCUGUCUGAAAGUAUCCUACGAAUAAGGAUCGGCUAACUCCGUGCCAGCAGCCGCGGUAAUACGGAGGAUUCCAGCGUUAUCCGGAUUUAGUGGGUUUAAAGGGUGCGUAGGCGGUCGUAUAAGUUAGAGGUGAAAUCCCGAGGCUCAACUUCGGAAUUGCCGCUGAUACUGGUCGGCUAGAGAGUAGUUACGGUAGGCGGAAUGUAUGGUGUAGCGGUGAAAUGCUUAGAGAGCAUACAGAACACCGAUUGCGAAGGCAGCUUACCAAGCUACUACUGACGUUGAGGCACGAAAGCGUGGGGAGCAAACAGGAUUAGAUACCCGGGUAGUC